rnacentral:rRNA from 1 species
AGAUAAUAAUUUAAAGUCUAGCCUGCCCAAUGAGGAUUUAAAUGGCCGCAGUAUUUUGACUGUGCAAAGGUAGCAUAAUCAUUAGUUUCUUAAUUAGGAACUGGAAUGAAAGGUUGGACGAGAAAAUAACUGUCUCUUUAUAAAUUUUUUAGAAUUUUAUUUUUAAGUUAAAAAGCUUAAAUAUAUUUAAAAGACGAGAAGACCCUAUAGAGUUUUAUUAAUUUAUUAAUAAAAUUGUGUAUAGAAUUUUUUAAACUUUAUUAUUAAAUUAAUUUAAUUGGGGUGAUUAAAAAAUUUAAUAAACUUUUUUUAAAUUAAAACAUUAAUUUAUGAUUAUUUGAUCCAUUAUUAUGAUUAUAAGAUUAAAUUACCUUAGGGAUAACAGCGUAAUUUCUUUUUAGAGUUCUAAUCGAUAAAGAAGUUUGCGACCUCGAUGUUGGAUUAAAAUUAAUUUUUGGUGUAGAAGCUAAAAUAUUAGGUCUGUUCGACCUUUAAAAUUUUACAUGAUCUGAGUUUAAACCGGUGUGAGCCAGGUUGGUUUCUAUCUUUAAAUAAAUUUUAUGUUUUAGUACGAAAGGACCAAAUAUUAUAAAUAUUUUAU